AUUGGGUGUAAAGGGCUCGUAGGUGGCUUUGUAAGUCAGGUGUGAAAGCCCACGGCUCAACCGUGGAAUUGCACUUGAUACUGCAUUGCUUGAGUUCGGGAGAGGGUAGUGGAAUUCCAGGUGUAGGAGUGAAAUCCGUAGAGAUCUGGAGGAACACCAGUGGCGAAGGCGACUACCUGGACCGAUACUGACACUGAGGAGCGAAAGCGUGGGGAGCAAACAGGAUUAGAUACCCUGGUAGUCCACGCUGUAAACGAUGGAUACUAGGUGGCGGGGGCGUGGCCUUCGGUGCCGUAGCGAACGCGUUAAGUAUCCCGCCUGGGGAGUACGGUCGCAAGGCUGAAACUCAAAUGAAUUGACGG
rnacentral:rRNA from 1 species